AAGUGCAUUAAUAAUUGUUCCUGUUAUUUGUUUCAGCACGUACAGCAGCUCAUGACCGGCGUUCUGCUGCAGACACUGGAAACGGCCCUGAGGAUUUUAAAGACACCAGAAGACUUGUUGCUUCAGAAGUUGGAACUGCAGUUUCUUCAACUGUGCAACUACCCACAAUCCCCUCUGAUCCUCCUCAAACCGUUUACCCCAACACAGUGUUACCAGCAAGCCGCUGUGAUUCUGCAAGUCGUGUUUCCACUCUCUCUGGUUCCUCAACCAACUCUGUUGAGAAAUCAGCCGAAGGUCCGACUUACGCCACAGUACGUUUUCACUCCAACGGCUCCAGCUCUAAUGAUGCAGCUCUUAAGAUUAGGUUUAAAAAUGAGGCCGAGUCGUGUGAGUACGCUACAGUGAGUCAUGGUCAUUCAUAAGGCUAGUUUCACACACUCUGCACAUCAGUUGGCCACUUUAUUCGUUUAUUAGGGGUGUGUAAGGUGGCUGUAAACUUGCUUUGUGUCUGUCUGUAUGAUUGUAUGCGUACAUGUGAAGGCACGAGUGUGCAGAUGUACAGGUUUUCCUACUAAAGUGUUUACUGAGUAUAUUUACUGAAUACUAUGUGUAAUAGGCCUCUGUACAGGAUAAGAGCUAUAGAGAAUGAGUGUGUGAGUGAGUAUUUUACACCAGGACUUGUUUGGUAGAUGGCAAACAAAACAAUUUACAAUUCAUUUUUGUUUUGUGAAUGUUUAAAUCACAAUGUAACUAGUAAUUGUAAAUGGAUUAAAUGUCUGCAGAUUUCAGCAGAGACAUAAAACACUGCUGUUUUUUUUAUAACUUAUUAUAUGUAGAACAAAAGUUGUCAUUACUUCUAUAAUGUGUAAAUCUGACCACUAGCAGAAUAUGGGAAUGACGUUGCAAAAAUGUAAAACGCUCAAAAUGUGUGUAUCUGUGCUAUUUCUUUGCCUGUGUGACCCUUUUUAUUUGUUCAGUCAUAUUUGGUUAAAAUUAAGUAAAAUUCAGUUUAUCAUAUUGCCGAGGUUGGAUAUGUCCGGAAUAUAGAAAUCUAUACUGCGCAAUCUCGAUCCCUAUAUAUGUUUAUUUAAAAACAGCGAAACAAAAAAAUGCCUCUGGAUUUAAAUCACUUCUGGAUGGUGUGUGUACAGUUAUAUCUAUUUAGUAAUUAACUGCUGAACUGUAAAGUAUUUUUGUAAUUAAAAAAACUAGUGCAUGCUUGUC